rnacentral:rRNA from 1 species
CCCUUAGAUGUUCUGGGCUGCACGCGCGCUACACUGAUGCGCUCAACGAGUUUACGACCUUGCCCGGAAGGGUUGGGUAAUCUUUUUAAAACGCAUCGUGAUGGGGAUAGAUUAUUGCAAUUAUUAAUCUUUAACGAGGAAUUCCUAGUAAGCGCGAGUCAUCAGCUCGUGCUGAUUACGUCCCUGCCCUUUGUACACACCGCCCGUCGUUUCUUCCGACUGGUACUCAUUGUGAAUUGCGAGGAGAUUCUGUCAAAUCGUUGUAAAUGCUGGGUAUUGGAGGAAGAAAAAGUCGUAACA